rnacentral:rRNA from 1 species
UACGGGGGGGGGCAAGCGUUGUUCGGAAUUACUGGGCGUAAAGGGCUCGUAGGCGGCCAACUAAGUCAGACGUGAAAUCCCUCGGCUUAACCGGGGAACUGCGUCUGAUACUGGAUGGCUUGAGUUUGGGAGAGGGAUGCGGAAUUCCAGGUGUAGCGGUGAAAUGCGUAGAUAUCCGGAGGAACACCGGUGGCGAAGGCGGCAUCCUGGACCAACACUGACGCUGAGUGAGCGAAAGCCAGGGGAGCAAACGGG